UACAGAGGGUGCAAACGUUGCUCGGAUUUACUGGGCGUAAAGCGCGUGUAGGCGGGUUCGCAAGUCGGACGUGAAAGCCCUGGGCUCAACCCAGGAACUGCGUUCGAAACUGCGAAUCUAGAGUAGUGGAGAGGAAAGUAGAAUUCCCGGUGUAGAGGUGAAAUUCGUAGAUAUCGGGAGGAAUACCAGUGGCGAAGGCGGCUUUCUGGACACUUACUGACGCUGAGACGCGAAAGCGUGGGGAGCAAACAGG
rnacentral:rRNA from 1 species